UACAGAGAGUGCAAACGUUGUUCGGAAUUACUGGGCUUAAAGCGCACGUAGGCGGCGUCGUAAGUGUCAGGUGAAAUCCCACGGCUCACCCGUGGAACUGCCUGGCAGACUGCGAUGCUAGAGUGUGGUAGGGGAGAGCGGAACUCUUGGUGGAGCGGUGAAAUGCGUAGAUAUCAAGAGGAACACCGGUGGCGAAGGCGGCUCUCUGGUCCACAACUGACGCUGAGGUGCGAAAGCUAGGGGAGCAAACGGG
rnacentral:rRNA from 1 species